UUUGUUUUUGUAAAAAUUAAUUAUUUUUACCUAAGUAUUAUGAAUGUAAUUUAAAUAUAGUUUGUUUGGGAUUAUACAUAUUUAAUUUAUAUUUAAAACUUAAAAGGUUUGGCGGUUUUACAUAUCCAGUUAGGGGAGUUUGUUAAUUUGUUUGAUAAUCCUCAUUUUAAACUUACUUUUUUUUGAUAUAUAAAAUAUACAGUUUAUAUAUUGCUGUCGUCAGUUUAUGUUUUGAGAAUUAAAAGAACUGUGAAAUUUUUAAGUUAUUAUGUCAAGUCAUAAUGUAGCUAAUAAGAAAGGUUUAAUGAACUACUGUAAAUAAUGUUUUUUAUUCGGAUAAUAAAAGUUAUAUUUUAUUAGAAAGAGGGACUUAAUAGUAAAUUUAUAAUUAGUAUGUGUAAUUGAAUAAGGUUUUGUAAAAUG
rnacentral:rRNA from 1 species